ensembl:lncRNA
AGAACGUUAGCAUAAAAACACCUGGGAUGUGGGAACACAGAAAAGCAUUAAGAGCUAUAAAAACUCUUAGAGAUCUUCAAAUCCAACUUUCCCUUCUGGAAAGAUCUAGACAUUGAGGACAGAGCAGGAAGGUGGCUCCCUUACCCAAGAUCGUUCCAAAUGGUUAGUAAUAAGAAAAGAUCUAGACUCCAGGCCGGCCAUAGAGCCUCUGAGGCCAUCUUAUUAGACUUGUGAGCCCAUUUCAGAAAGCCAGACCUCUCUGAAAAGAUGAGGAACCUGGUAUAAUUAACCAUGGCUUCCUCAAGCUUUCGUAAUCAGUCCUCCAAGCUAAUGAAACAUCUCUGCUCUGAAAAUACCCAAAGGUCUCCUGAGAUUGACCUACAGUCAUAGGACAGAAAAAGUCAGAGCUGGAAGAGCAGCUCAUGUGCUCACCUUGGACAAGCAAGAUACAACUUGGAUUUUCUUGGACCUUUCACCUGUAGUAUUGACUUGGGAAUGGUCAUCUUUUCUAAGAAAUCACUGUAGAUAUCAACUCCUUCUGGACUACCAACAUCCAAAUCCAGGAGCCCCUGACCUCUCAAGACUAAUGAAUUUGGUAAUAAGGGUAAAAAAAUCCCUGCCAAAAUUGCUGUUCAGUCACCUAUGCUCAAGGAAAGAAACUCAAAGCAGGAGGAGCAUCAAGGAACUUGAGAUCCAGGCUCAGGUUUUCCUAGGCCAUGGACUCUUCUCCAAUCCAUAAUUGUGGAAGGUAUUUUUUUUCUUGCUCCUCUAAUUAGAAGGCUUCAUUUGGAAAUAAAGGUGGCAUAAAAACAAAAAUAGUAUUCA